rnacentral:rRNA from 1 species
UACGUAGGGUGCAAGCGUUAAUCGGAAUUACUGGGCGUAAAGCGUGCGCAGGCGGCUUUGCAAGACAGAUGUGAAAUCCCCGGGCUUAACCUGGGAACUGCAUUUGUGACUGCAUGGCUAGAGUACGGGCAGAGGGGGAUGGAAUUCCGGCGUGUAGCAGUGAAAUGCGUAGAUAUGCGGAGGAACACCGAUGGCGAAGGCAGUCCCCUGGGCCUGUACUGACGCUCAUGCACGAAAGCGUGGGGAGCAAACAGG